rnacentral:rRNA from 1 species
UAGGGAACCUUCCACAAUGGACGCAAGUCUGAUGGAGCAACGCCGCGUGAGUGAAGAAGGUUUUCGGACCGUAAAGUUCUGUUGUUGGUGAAGAAGGAUAGAGGUAGUAACUGGCCUUUAUUUGACGGUAAUCAACCAGAAAGUCACGGCUAACUACGUGCCAGCAGCCGCGGUAAUACGUAGGUGGCAAGCGUUGUCCGGAUUUAUUGGGCGUAAAGCGAGCGCAGGCGGAAGAAUAAGUCUGAUGUGAAAGCCCUCGGCUUAACCGAGGAAUUGCAUCGGAAACUGUUUUCUUGAGUGCAGAAGAGGAGAGUAGAACUCCAUGUGUAGCGGUGGAAUGCGUAGAUAUAUGGAAGAAUACCAGUGGCGAAGGCGGCUCUCUGGUCUGCAACUGACGCUGAGGCUCGAAAGCAUGGGUAGCGAACAGGAUUAGAUACCCUGGUAGUCCAUGCCGUAAACGAUGAGUGCUAAGUGUUGGGAGGCUUCCGCCUCUCAGUGCUGCAGCUAACGCAUUAAGCACUCCGCCUGGGGGAGUACGACCGCAAGGUUGA